CAGAGAGGAGGUGAUGGAAGGAAACUGUGUGACAGAGAAAGAAACAUAGACAUGUACUUACUUAAUGUGGGAACAAAAACAGAUGAAACUUUGGUCCGUUAUCCAAGAGAGUUGCAGCAGUUUCCAAUGGGAUGGUGCAGAAAUUUCACUGGUCCUAAAGGCACCAAUUUCAAAGUUUGAAAGACUUCAAUUGCCCAGAAGUGUAACCUUCAUCCAUUUCUUCUGUGUGGGCUCAACUUCUUUGCAGGAGGUGCUAGUCAGUACAGAGAAUCACAUCCAUUCCAUCCCUCCUGCUGGUUUCUCUAAAAAAAAUUGAUGUCUUCAAAACCAGGUGAGUGGCACUUUUCAAACAAGAAG